UGUUUUGGUUUGUUUCAUUGUUUGUUUACACUUUAGCAGCAAAACUAUUGGUUGAAUUCAGACCAAAUUGGGUUUGAAAUUUGCAAGUGACCGAGAACAGAUGUGAUGACAUUUGGGGGAAAGUAGGUCAAAGUUCAAAUUUUUAAUGAAUUUUUUAAAUCUUUUUUUUUCCCCAUUUACUCAUAACAGACAAAAUUUCACAUGUCUA